rnacentral:tRNA from 2 species
GCCCCUGUAGCUCAGUCGCAGAGCGCUUGCCUCGUAAGCAGGAGGUCGAGGGUUCAAAUCCCUCCAGGGGCU